rnacentral:tRNA from 1 species
GCAUCCAUGGCUGAAUGGUUAAAGCGCCCAACUCAUAAUUGGUAAAUUUGCGGGUUCAAUUCCGGCUGGAUGCA